rnacentral:rRNA from 1 species
ACGAACGCUGGCGGCGUGCUUAACACAUGCAAGUCGAACGGAAAGGCCCUGCUUUUGUGGGGUGCUCGAGUGGUGAACGGGUGAGUAACACGUGAGUAACCUGCCCUUGACUUUGGGAUAACUUCAGGAAACUGGGGCUAAUACCGGAUAGGAGCUCCUGCUGCAUGGUGGGGGUUGGAAAGUUUCGGCGGUUGGGGAUGGACUCGCGGCUUAUCAGCUUGUUGGUGGGGUAGUGGCUUACCAAGGCUUUGACGGGUAGCCGGCCUGAGAGGGUGACCGGCCACAUUGGGACUGAGAUACGGCCCAGACUCCUACGGGAGGCGGCAGUGGGGAAUAUUGCACAAUGGGCGGAAGCCUGAUGCAGCAACGCCGCGUGCGGGAUGACGGCCUUCGGGUUGUAAACCGCUUUCGCCUGUGACGAAGCGUGAGUGACGGUAAUGGGUAAAGAAGCACCGGCUAACUACGUG